GUCGUUCAAAAUGAAAAAAGGAAAAGAAAAAAAGAACUUAGCAUGUAAUGAAAACCUAGGUAUAGCUGUAUGCAAUAUAAUCUCCAUUAAGGAAGAAAGUAAGAAGAAGAAACUGCGGUUCUCUUCCAGAAAUUACAACAGAACUACAUUCGCUUGUCUCUAUUAUUAGCUUUGUGCAAAUUUGGGUGAAAGGAUUGCUGGGGUCAUGUCUGUCUUAUUGAUACCCUUGAAGAGACAACAUGAUGUGAAUCUUACGGAGCCAGAUGGGAAAGGAAAGUUGCAAAAGUCAACAAGUUCCAAUUGGCAAAAUCAACCUUCAACGAAUUCUUCUCGCGGUGCUUUUUUUCGUGUGCUAUGCCCUGCUUCAAAAGCUGAUUGUCUUAUUGGAAAAGAGAGUUCUUUAAUAUCACAAAUUCAGCAAGAAACUGGUGCAGAACUCAGAGUUGAGGAAGCUGUCCCCGGUUGCGACGAGAGAGUUUUCAUUAUUGGUUUUGAGAAAGAGGAUGGAGUUGGUGAAGAGGCCAAUGAAGACGGUAAACAUGAUGAGACAGAGGAAGAGGAUGAGAAAAUGAAAGAGAGGGAUUCAAUUUCUUUGGAAAAUUCAAAAUCUGAUAACAGGAUUUCAUCACUUAAAAAGGCUCUGAUACUUGUUUUUGAGAAAAUGAUUGAAGGGCAUCGAGAAACAGAUGGAGGGGAUGUGGAAAGCAAAAAAUCUUCACCAUUUGUUUUGAGGUUACUUGUACUCUCAACUCAAGUGGGAUGCAUUUUGGGAAAAGGUGGCUGUGUGAUCAAGCAAAUGUCAUCUGAAAGUGGGGCGCAAAUUCGAAUUCUUCCAAGGGACAAACUUCCUCCAUGUGCAUCAUCGUUGGAUGAAUUGGUUCAGAUUACAGGGGAAGUUGAGGCAGUAAGAAUAGCGCUUAAUUAUGUCUCUCUUCAGCUUUUGGGGAAUCCCCUUCGAGAUCAUGACUUUUUCCCUACCAACCUUACGGGACCAUCAAUUCAUUUAUUUGGUCAACCUGGCCCUAUACCUGAAGCAUUCCCACCAUCCAUUUGUUCUUUUGCUGCUCAAGGAGCACCCUAUGCUGAUGGGCCUCGUAAUGUUGAUUUUCGUUCUGCUGCGCCCCCAUUAAUUCCUAAAUUUCAUGAUGGUUUCCAUGGUCGAAUGAAGCCAGCUCCAGAAAUACUAACCUUCCGGAUAUUAUGCCCUGCUGAAAGAGUGGGGGCUGUAAUUGGAAAGGGUGGAACAGUUAUUAAGGCAAUUCAGCAAGACACUGGUUGUGAGGUUAAAGUCAUAGAAGAAGGCAUGUCUGAUUCUGAGGAUCGUGUUAUUGCUGUAUCUGGUCAUGUGCAUCCAGAUGACAGGGUAUCAGCUGUGCAAGAUGCAGUUCUUCGAGUGCAAACUAGAAUAGCCCGGGCAGCACCUGACAGUAAGGAGCAGAGUGUGACAGCCAGGCUUCUUAUUUCCUCCAAUCAGAUUGGUUGUCUUCUUGGCAAGGGUGGUUCCAUCAUAGCAGAAAUGAGAAAAUUAUCACGAGCACAUAUUCGUAUAUGGGGCAAGGAUCAAAUUCCAAAGUUUGCUUCAGAAGAUGAAGAAGUUAUUCAGAUAAAUGGAGAAUUUGAAGCAGUUCAAGAUGCUCUUAUACAGACCAGCACUAGGUUGCAGCAUCAUUUUUUUCAUGAUGCUUUUCCUUCCAUUAAUUAUCCCACAAAUCCUGCAUUUUUUGAUCCUCCAUUCCUGUCUUUUUUGGGAUUGCGGGAACUCUCACCUGCAGGAAUGCAUUCAAACUAUGGCCCAUCUUUUCACAAGUUUGAUAUGCUCCCACAUGGUGGUUUUCAACCUCGUGAUGAUUGUGUUCCUUUCAUGCACAAUAUCCAUAGGUUUGGUGGCCCAACACUAUCUGAAAGAAGACCGUGGGGUCCUCAGGGACUUCCUGAAGGUAGUGGUCCAGGUCUGCCAGAUUUUGUUGGAUUUCCACAAAGAGUCAGCCAACCAGCUAUAAUUACUAGCAGCACUGUUGAAGUUGUUAUUCCUCAUUCAGUUGUUCCUGCUAUUUAUGGAGAAGAUGGUGAAUGUUUGAAACAAAUUCGUCAGAUUUCCGAUGCAAAAAUUACAAUUAUGGAGCCGAAGGCUGGAGCGGUGGAAACUAUGAUAAUUAUAUCUGGAACACCAGAACAAACCCAUGCCGCACAGAGUCUAAUUCAAGCAUUUGUGAUUAGUGAGACUGAGUCUACUUGAUAUUCUUGGUUCAGGUUAAAUGGAGUCUACACGUCUGAUCGUCGACAAGAAAAAGGCGACAAUGGAGGCCCGAAAGAGGAAACAGGCUGGCGAGCCCUCGCGGACGCAGAAAAAGCCAAGAGUUACCACUGUUGACACCCCCAUGGCUACUCAGGCUGCAGGGCUGACUGUCUCUGUCAGUGAGGUUCUGCUCUCAAUGAGUUCCGCUCUAACGGUGGGUCCCCGUAAGGAUGCAAGUGCUCCUCCCCCACUACGUCUGACGGAUGCGGGAAGGCUACCUGUGGCUCAAGAGGUCUUUGAACGGGUGGCGCAAUGUGGCAAGGCAAUUGUCGAGGAGUCUGCACCUUCUCUGGCAGUUUCAUUGGAUUGUGCUCCCCUAACGGGGGCACCUAGCACAGCCUCUGCGGAGCCAAACAGGACGAAUUUGAGGCCUUGGCCCAUGCCGACUUCAAAGAAUACCUCCGGGACCUGGGGAAGGAGGUCUCCCCUCUGGCUGCAGGACUGCUGACCAUAGUGGGAGAUAUCUUGGGGAGCAUACCCCUUCGUUGAUGGGCCGAGCUGAGGCAGCAGAACAUUGUCGAUCUUUCUCAGAGCCAAUCGGUGACUUUUGUCUUGAUGACCCUCCCCACUAUCCAACAAAGCGAGGCUGUGAAUGGAUUGAUGUGGGACACCCAUCGUUUUCAUGAGGAGCUCCAAAACUAUAUUGCCUUGUUGAACAAGGUUGAAGCGGAGUUGGCCAAGCUAAAAGGUGAUGGUGUUUUUCCUCCCGCCGAGGCAAAGCCGGCCUAGUCCUUUACGAAGGUUGAGCGUGCAUGGGAUGAUGAGAAGGCUCGUCGAGAGCCUGUCGAGAAAAAGUUGGUUGCGGCUUGGGAGAAGAUUGCCAACAAUGAGGAGAAGAUUCUUCUCGAGACCGUCGAGAAGGAGCUUACCUAGGCCCGGUCAAAGAUUGUCACCCAAGUAGAUCUCAUCCACCAGGAGACGUCUUUAAAGGCGAGGAUCGACGCCCAAGUAGCUCGGGUGGCUGAGGUGAUUAAGGAAAGCCAGGCGGAGGUCGCCAAAUACCGUGAGAUGUCCAACUCGUUCGGUAUGGACGCUAUCUUCAAUGUGUGGCUCUGCAAUCCAGACCUGGACUUGAGCUACCUUAGGGAUGACGAAGCCUAUGUCCAGGGCCUUUGCGAAGAGCGCUUGAAGGCCGACGAGGCUCAUGAGAUUAGCGUUCUGACCUCUUGGGCCUACUGGCUCCGAGAAUGUCGUAGUCCUUGCUGUCGAGCUGCCCCCCGGGUCCUCGGACGCUCCCACUAGUCGUGAUGGGCCGCCUUCCAUAGUAGUCUUAUAGAUUUUUUUUUUCUUUUCUAUGUAUUUACUUUUUUAUAGGUCUUCGGGCCUUUGGAGAUCAACUCAAUAUUGCUCGCACUCCCGAGCCCUUUGUAUAUAAGUUGUAACAUAAUAUACAACUCUUUUUUAUUUA